rnacentral:rRNA from 1 species
UAAGACGAGGGAUCCUAGCGUUGUUCGGAAUCAUUGGGCGUAAAGCGGGUGUAGGUUGCUUUUUAAGUCAGGUGUGAAAGCCUAGGGCUCAACCCUAGAAGUGCAUCUGAUACUAUUAAGCUUGAGUGUGGAAGAGGCUAUUAGAAUUCCUGGUGUAGUGGUGAAAUACGUAGAUAUCAGGAGGAAUACCAGCUGCGAAGGCGGAUAGCUGGUCCAACACUGACACUAAGACCCGAAAGCGUGGGGAUCAAACAGGAUUAGAUACCCUGGUAGUCCACGCCGUAAACGAUGGAUACUUGUUGUUGGAGGUAUUGACCCCUUCAGUGACGAAGCUAACGCGUUAAGUAUCCCGCCUGGGAAGUACGGUCGCAAGAUUAAAACUCAAAGGAAUUGACGG